CGUUGGUGACAGCGGAGGGAUCAUUACCGAGUACUAUAACUCAUAACCCUUUGUGAACCUUCAUACCUGUUGCUUCGGCGGCGCGCCUCUCGGGGCGUGCCCGCCGGCAUUAUCAGAAUCUCUGUUCGAACCCGACGAUACUUCUGAGUGUUCUAAGCGAACUGUUAAAACUUUCAACAACGGAUCUCUUGGCUCCAGCAUCGAUGAAGAACGCAGCGAAACGCGAUAUGUAAUGUGAAUUGCAGAAUUCAGUGAAUCAUCGAAUCUUUGAACGCACAUGGCGCCUUCCAGUAUCCUGGGAGGCAUGCCUGUCCGAGCGUCGUUUCAACCCUCGAGCCCCCGUGGCCCGGCGUUGGGGACCUGCCCAGGCAGUCCCCGAAAACCAGUGGCGGACCCGACGGGCCCUUCCUUUGCGUAGUAACAUCUGCCUCGCAUCGGGAGCCCCCGGGCUAUCCGGCCUCUAAACCCCCCUCAAGCCCGCUCCGGCGGCACCAAGGUUGACCUCGGAUCAGGUAGGAAUACCCGCUGAACUUAAGCAUAUCAAUAAGCGGAGGAAAAGAAACCAACAGGGAUUGCCUCAGUAACGGCGAGUGAAGCGGCAACAGCUCAAAUUUGAAAUCUGGCUCCUUCGGGGCCCGAGUUGUAAUUUGCAGAGGAUGCUUCGGGUACGGGUUCCUUCCGAGUUCCCUGGAACGGGACGCCAUAGAGGGUGAGAGCCCCGUCUGGUAGGACACCCAGCCCGUGUGAAGCUCCCUCGACGAGUCGAGUAGUUUGGGAAUGCUGCUCUAACGGGAGGUAUACUCCUUCCAAGGCUAAAUACCGGCUGGAGACCGAUAGCGCACAAGUAGAGUGAUCGAAAGAUGAAAAGCACUUUGAAAAGAGAGUCAAAUAGCACGUGAAAUUGUUGAAAGGGAAGCGCUCGCUACCAGACAUGGGUUCGGCGGUUCAACCGGGGCCACGCCCCGGGGCACUCCGCCGGCCCAGGCCAGCAUCAGCUUUCCGUCGGGGGCAAAGGCUUCGGGAAUGUGGCUCUCCUUCGGGGGAGUGUUAUAGCCCGGCGUGUCAUACCCUUCGGGGGGCUGAAGUACGCGCUUCUGCAAGGAUGCUGGCGUAAUGGUAUCUAGUGACCCU
rnacentral:rRNA from 1 species